GAUGGGUGGGUAGAUCUGUAUGAUGGUCCUGGUCAUGGUCAGAGGCAGGAGAGUGAUGAAUGGUUGGGUCAGAUGAAGUGGAUGGUCUCCGUACCCAGACUCCCUCUACUCUAUGGAAUCCCAUCCGAUGAAGGGUUCCCUCACCCAUGCGAUCUGUAAACCGCAGUGAGCGAGAGGGUUCCCCCUCAGGAAUGGGGACCUCUAACUCCCUAAAUAUCAGGGUGAACA
rnacentral:lncRNA from 1 species